GACGAACGCUGGCGGCGUGCCUAAUACAUGCAAGUCGAACGCAGUGGGGACGGGUGAGUAACACGUGGGUAACCUCCCAUCAGAGGGGAUAACACUUGGAAACAGGUGCUAAACCGAUACUGAUGGAUGGACCCGCGGUGCAUUAGCUAGUUGGUGGGGUAACGGCUCACCAAGGCCACGAUGCCUAGCCGGCCGGGGAGGGGGAUCGGCCACCCUGGGACGGAGACACGGUCCAGACUCCUACGGGAGGCAGCAGUUGGGAAUCUUCGGACAUUGACGGAAGUCUGACCGAACCACGCCGCGUGGGUGAAGAAGGUUUUCGGAGUGUAAAACUCUGUUGUUAGGGAAGCGGUAUCUAACCAGAAAGCCACGGCUAACUACGUGCCAGCAGCCGCGGUAAUUC
rnacentral:rRNA from 1 species